GCUCCUACCGAUUGAGUGAUCCGGUGAAUUAUUCGGACUGACGCAGUGCUCAGCUUCUGCACGUUGCGUUGGAAAGUUUCAUGAACCUUAUCACUUAGAGGAAGGAGAAGUCGUAACAAGGUUUCCGUAGGUGAACCUGCAGAAGGAUCAAGAUCGGAAUAGCACACGUCUGAUUCCCAGUCACGUUGCCUUACCUCCUAUGCCGUCUUUCGCUUGAAAAAAACAAUCCAACCCUUCCCCCCUUCUUCUUACUUCGGCUUCUUUAACACAUUUCUCU
rnacentral:misc_RNA from 1 species